rnacentral:lncRNA from 1 species
CCCUACCUAUCUUCCGAAGAUAAGAACACUUGUUUCUGGUAGACACUCAGUCAAGAAAAGUUUAGCUAUUUCUAUCACCAAAUAACCAGUGGACCAUAUGCACACACUACAAUAAUUACUUCUAUUUUUCCUUUUAUUCUUUUUGAAAUAUCAAACCUUUAUGAUGGAAUUGCUAAUAAUUAUGCUGUAUGGUUGUAACAGGAUGUGGAUUACUCAAGAGAUGUCAACCAGAUGAGAUAUCAUCAGGGAUAAGAUCUGAGAUGUGACAUAAGAAUUGACCUUUAUGGGCCACUUGAAAUGUCAAAAACAAGCACAAAAAAAAAGGGAAAGAAAACUUGAAAAUCCCAGAUUUUCUGGCAACUUGCUCUCCUGAGAAAAGGUGGUGUAUAUCAACUUCCACACCUCUGAAUUC